rnacentral:rRNA from 1 species
CCUACGGGAGGCAGCAGUGAGGAAUAUUGGUCAAUGGACGCAAGUCUGAACCAGCCAUGCCGCGUGCAGGAAGACGGCUCUAUGAGUUGUAAACUGCUUUUGUACGGGGGUAAACGGAGGCACGCGUACCUGUCUGAAAGUAACGUACGAAUAAGGAUCGGCUAACUCCGUGCCAGCAGCCGCGGUAAUACGGAGGAUUCGAGCGUUAUCCGGAUUUAUUGGGUUUAAAGGGAGCGUAGGGGGUCGGUUAAGUUAGUGGUGAAAGCCCGCGGCUCAACCGCGGAAUUGCCUUUGAUACUGGCCGUCUUGCGUGUAGUUGCGGUAGGCGGAAUUUGUUGUGUCGCGGUUACAUGCUUAGCGAUCAUGCAGCACUCCGAUUGCGAAGGCAGCUUACCACGCUGCUUCUGACGUUGAUGCUCGAAAGCGUGGGUAUCAAACAGGAUUAGAUACCCGAGUAGUC